UUCUAGCCCUGAUGGAAACGGCAUCCUUUUUCUGGCUCCUUUAGACAGAAAAAGAUAUAGUGUACAGCAGGAAUAGCU
rnacentral:sRNA from 1 species